UACGGAGGGUGCAAGCGUUAUUCGGAAUUACUAGGUGUAAAGGGCGUGUAGGCGGUUUGGUAAGUCAGUUGUGAAAACUCAUGGCUCAACUGUGAGACUGCAACUGAAACUGCUUGACUUGAGUAUAGGAGGGGAAAGCGGAAUUCCUGGUGUAGCGGUGAAAUGUGUAGAUAUCAGGAGGAAUACCGAGGGCGAAAGCGGCUUUCUGGACUAAUACUGACGCUAAGGCGCGAAAGCUAGGGGAG
rnacentral:rRNA from 1 species